CUCCCCUUUGCUGUUCUGUAAAUUUUAUCUUUCUUGCAAUGGAUUCUCAGUAUCCGGGUGCCACCAUUUUGUUCUCUUCUGUCCAUAAUGUCUACAGCUUGCCUUGCUGUUUGGUUCUUUUGAUGUCUGGAUUGUGGGUAAAUUAACUUGGCAACUGAAAUGGAACUUCGCUAAAAGAAACGCUUUGGGCACCAAAACUGCGUGCCUAAUUGGAUUUGACAUGUUUUCAGUCCCCUAUUCAUGUUACUUUUUUCUCCACGUUCAGAUCUCUUCAGUUUUGCUUAUAAAUUAAAUAAAUUUGGCAGCAUUCUCCACUCCAUUAGCUAUGCCACCCAUUUUCAUAACACAAGCCAGAAAAAAACAUUUGAUG